UACGAGGGGGGCAAGCGUUGUUCGGAAUUAUUGGGCGUAGAGGGCGCGUAGGCGGUGCGGUAAGUCACCUGUGAAAUCUCUGGGCUCAACUCAGAGUCUGCAGGCGAAACUGCCGUGCUGGAGUAUGGGAGAGGUGCGUGGAAUUCCCGGUGUAGCGGUGAAAUGCGUAGAUAUCGGAAGGAACAUCAGUGGCGAAAGCGACUUCCUGGACCAAUACUGACGCUCAUGUGCGAAAGCGUGGGGAGCAAACAGG
rnacentral:rRNA from 1 species